rnacentral:rRNA from 1 species
UCAUUACAACAGCCAUAGUUUAUUGGAUGUUUACGUUCCUACAUGGACACCUGCGGUAAUUCUGGAGCUAAUACAUGCACAAGCCGACGACCUUACGGAAGUCGCGCAUUUGUUAGAUCAAACCAAUCGGUCCUCCGGGACCGUAAUUUGAUGACUCUGAACAACUUAGCUGACCGCACAGUCUCGUACUGGCGGCAUAUCUUUCAAGUGUCUGCCUUAUCAACUUUCGUUGGUAGUUUAUACGACUACCAAGGUUGUAACGGGUAACGGAGAAUAAGGGUUCGACUCCGGAGAGGGAGCCUGAGAAACGGCUACCACAUCCAAGGAAGGCAGCAGGCGCGCAAAUUACCCACUCGCAGAACGCGGAGGUAGUGACGAAAAAUAACGAGGUGGCUCUCUAUGAGGUCCAUCAUCGGAAUGGGUACAAUUUAAAUCCUUUAACGAGGAUCUAUUGGAGGGCAAGUCUGGUGCCAGCAGCCGCGGUAAUUCCAGCUCCAAUAGCGUAUACUAAAGUUGUUGCGGUUAAAAAGCUCGUAGUUGGAUCUGCGCUCUGUGAGAGCGGUCGCUCGCUGAGUUGUACUGUCUCUCACGGGCUAACCAUUCGGUUUUCCCUUGAUGCUCUUCAUUGAGUGUCCUGGGUGACCGAAACGUUUACUUUGAAAAAAUUAGAGUGCUCAAAGCAGGCGAUUUGCCCGAAUAUUCGUGCAUGGAAUAAUAAAAGAGGUCCUUGUAGCCUUUUAUUGGUUAUCGCUACGAGGAAAUGAUCGAAGGGGACAGACGGGGGCAUUUGUAUUGCGACGUUAGAGGUGAAAUUCUUGGAUCGUCGCAAGACAAACUACUGCGAAAGCAUUUGCCAAGAAUGUUUUCAUCAAUCAAGAACGAAAGUCUGAGGUUCGA